rnacentral:tRNA from 1 species
CGUUAGCUCAGUCGGUAGAGCAACUGACUUUUAAUCAGUAGGUCGCUGGUUCGACCCCAGCA